AGCCGCUGAUUAUUCACACUAUACUUUUCUGACAUCUCCUAUGAACACUGCCAAGCAUCAGCUGAUUAUAAAAUAAAAUCUGAGGCUA